GACGAACGCUGGCGGCGUGGAUUAGGCAUGCAAGUCGAACGGUAGGCAUCCUUUCGGGGAUGUUGAGAGUGGCGAACGGGUGAGUAACGCGUAGGUGAUCUACCUUCAGGUGGGGGACAACCCGGGGAAACCCGGGCUAAUACCGCAUGUGGCUGUAAAGCCAAAGCCGGCCUCUGCAAAUGCUGGUGCCUGGAGCUGAGCCUGCGUCUGAUUAGCUGGAUGGUGGGGUAACGGCCUACCAUGGCGAUGAUAAGUAGGCGGCUUUAACGAGUGGCCGCCCACACUGGGAUUGAGAAACGGCCCAGACUCCUACGGGUGGCAG
rnacentral:rRNA from 1 species